ensembl:lncRNA
GUAGGGAACUGGCUAACAGAGAAUGAGAAAGUAGAGUAUCCGCACAGUUCUGUCAUUUUGAGAUGAACCAGAUGCCUUCUCUUACAUCGAUCCUCUGACUCCUCCAUGCCAGAUUAUCUGAAUCACCAGGAAGACAACCUUAUUAACUAUUCUUCAGCAAUGUAAUCAAUAAAUUUCUAUUGUAUUUGUCAUUGUGUUUACUUUAUGGAUACCGUGAUUCUAACAAAAAUUUCUUUAGGAUAUGAUAGAUUAUUUUAAGCUUAUAACACUCGGAUCACACACAAACUUAAAACUGCACAUGAACUCCAUUAUGCCCAUUUUGAUUUUUUGGUGGUACAAUUGACAUCGUUUUAUACCGUCUAUCCUUUAGCAAAUUAUUGUGGUUGAUAUUUUUAAUAGUUUUGUCAUUUGUGCUUCAAAAUAAAUGCAUAAUUUAUACAUCUCCAUUACAGUGUUAGAGCAUUUUGUUUUGUUUUGUUUUUUUGGUACCGGGGAUCGAACUCAGGACCUUGCACUUAAGAGGCAGGUGCCAGAACCACUGAGCUAAAUCCCUGGCCCAUGUUAGGGUAUUUUAAUUUGAAUGUGCUCUUACUUUUACCGGUGACUUCUUAUGCGUUCAGAUACUGUUAUGUUACUCAUUAGCAUGCUUUCUUUUGAUAUGAAGAACUCCAUUUAGCAAUUUUUGUAAGGCAGAUCUGGUGAUGAAAUCCCUUAGGUUUUGGUUAUUAGGAAUUCUCUUUAUUUUCUUAUUUUUGAAGAACACUUUGCUAGUUAUAACAUUCUUGGUCACCAGUUAUUUUCCUUUAACUCUUUAAAUAUACACUCUCACUCUAAUCUGGCCUCUAAGAUUCUGCUGGGAAAUCUGCUGGUAGCCAUAUUGAAAUUUCCUUGUGUGCUAUUACCUCUCUCUGUGUUCAUGGUGCUUCCUUUGCCUCUGAACACUGAUAGCUUUAGUAUAAUAUACCCUGAGGUAAUCUUGUCUAAACUGCAUCUGAUUGGAGACUUUCGACCUUUCUUAGCUGGAUAUUUGUAUCUUUCUCCAAGUUGGAAAAGUUUUAUGCUAUAAUUUCUUUAAAUUUUAUACUUCUUUAUCAUUCUCUCCUUAAUCUUGAAAUUCUAUGACUUGAAUAUUUGCUAGUUUAAUGCUGUUCCAUAAAUUCCAUAAGCUUUCUUUAUUAUUUGACGUUUUUUCUCUCACUGCAUAUAUGCCAAUAACUUCUCUUCAGGGUCACAGAUACUUUCAUCUGCUGUUGAUGCUCUUUUGCAUUUUUCACUUCACUUAUGGUAUUAUUUUUGUUUCUCUGUUAAACAUCCUGCUCUGGUAAUUUAUUGUUUGUGUCAUUUGGUUGAAUGGAUUUUUCUAUAUUUUGUUCAAAUUUGCUGGCUUCCUUACAAUAGUAAUAUUGAAUUCUUUGUUACACUGUCCUAAGUCUUCACUUCCUUAGGGUUAGGCACUUUAGUUUGCUUUCUUCAUGAUGUUCUGUUCCCCCAAUUGUUCUUGAUAUCUGUGGUUGUGGAUUGGUACAUGUGUGUCUGAAGAGCUAUAUAGUCCUUCUAGUCUUCACGUAGUGGCGUUUUCUGGGGAACUCCUUCAGAAGUCAGCCCCCUCAGAGAUUCUAGGUAGCCUGCCUAGUACAGAGUGUGUAAAUUUCAAAGUUUAAUGUAUUAUAUGUAGGUCUUUCAUUCACUUUUAAUUGAUUUUUAUACAGUGUGAGAGAUAAGGAUCUACUUUUAACUUUCUACAUAUGAAUACCCAGUUUUCCUAACCCCAUUUAUUAAAGAGGGUGUCCUCUCUAUAGUGUGUUUCUGUCUCUUGUCAUGAACUAGAUGGCAGUCUGUUGGAUGUUUCUCUUUGCCUGUGUCCUCUGUUCCAUUCCGUCUGUCCACACAGCCAUUUUACAUCAGUAUGAUACCAUUUUUCUCACUAUGGUUUUGUAGUAUAUUUUGAAAUCAGGAAUUGUGAUGAGUCCAUCAGUGUUCCUUUUCCUCAGGAUUGCCUUGGCUAUUCUAAGUCUUUCGUGCCUCCAGGAAAAUUUUUAGGAUUGUUUUUCUUCUGUCAAGUAUGUCCUCAAAUAUAUUGAUGAAUAUUUUAUUGAAUGUGUGCAUCACUUUCAGUAAUAUAGUCAUUUUAACAAUCUUAACUCUACCAAUCCAUGAGCAUGGAAAGUCUUUCCAUCUAGCACUGUCAUCAGUUUCCUUCUUUAAUGUUUUGUAAUUGUCAUCAAAGAGGUCUAGCACUUCCCUGUCACAUUUAUUCCUAAGUUUUUUUGGUACUGGGGACCGAACUAGUGUCCUUGUGCUUGCAAGGCAGCCACCGUAACCACUGAGCUAAAUCCCUGGCCCCCUAAGCUAUUUUUAAUGGAAUUGUUUUCUUGAUUUCUUUCUAACCAAGAUCAUUAUUGGUAUAGAGAAAACCUAUUGGUUUUGUAUAUGGGUUUUGUAUCUGUCACUUUGCUGAAUUUAACAGUCCUAAAACUCCCUCUUUUCUUAGUUUGGAUGAGAUCUUAACAAUAGUAUUUAUCUUUUUAAAAGAUGUACUCUUUGAUUCCUUCUAUUGUUCUGUUAGUCUCCAUGUUACUAAUUUAAGCUCCAAUCUCAAUUUUUUCUUUCUUUCCAUCACUUUUGGGUUUUAUUCUUGUUUUUCUAAGAUUUUAAGAUGAAUCAUUUGGUUACAUUUUUUAAUCCAGGGAUAUAUAGCUAUAAACUUUGCUCUUGGAGUGGCCUUUUCUGCAUCCCAGAUUCUGGUAUGCUAUGGCAUUUCAUUCUAUCUUAUUAAAAUUUCCCACUGAUUAUCUCAAUGAGCCACUGGUAACUCAAAAGUAUAUUAUUCUAUCUUAAUGUGUUUGUGUAGUUUCUGUGGUUUCUCUUCUUUACAGUCAGUUUCAUCCCAUUGUGAUUGCAUAGGAUGAACAUCACUUCUCUUUAAAAUAUAGUCUAUUUUAGAGAAAUUCAGUGAGCUGCUGAAACAUAUGCGUAUUCCACUGUUGUUAAUGACAUCUUCUGUAGAUGUCAGCUAUGCUUGUUUCAUCAAUAGUGUAGGUUAAGUCUGAUAUUUCAUUGUUAAUCUUUUGUAUCCUACUUUUACAUAUUGACCUAUUUGUAAAAGUAGGAUAUUAAAGUAACGGACUAUUAUUGUAUUGGUAUUUAUCUGCUUCUUUAAGUUUGUUUCAUGAAAUUUCUGUGCACCAAUAUUUGGGGCAUAUAUGUUUGCUAUUGCUAUAUCUUCUUGAUGAAUUGUUCCCUUUGCUGAUAUGUAAGAACUUUUGUCCCAUCUGACUACUUUUGACUUGAUAUCUGCAUUGUUCAAUAUAACUGUGUUAGUCCUGCUUCCUUCCAGAUUCUAUUUGCAUGGAAUAUUAUCUUCAACCCUCUACUUUCAGGCUAUGUACAUCUUUGCAAGUGAUGUGUGCUUCUUGCAGGCAACACACAGUUGAGUCUUACUUUUUAUUCAAUCUACCAAUAUGUUUCUUUUAAUUAAACAAUUAAUAGAAUUCAUAUUGAGAGAUAUAUUUUAAAAGUAUGUAUUUAUUCCUGCCAUUUCCUCAUUUUUACAAUGCUUUAUUCACUUCUAAUACUCAUUGCUUAGUCUACUUUUCUUCUCUGUGCAGUGGUGCUUAAAGUAUCUUUUGAAGUGCUUGCUUAGUAGUCACAAAUUCUUGUAAUUUCUUCUUAUUUUGGAAGAUCUUUAAUUUUCCUUCAAUUCUGAAUGAUAAGUUUGCUGGGUAGUUAUUUUUUCUGUGCUUGAAAAAGUUCAGGUACAAACACCCAAUGAUAAAUGUAAAUGUAUCGUAUGCCUAAAAUAUACCAAUUAAUAUAUAAAUUUUUAAAAAUGAAAAAAUAAAGAAAUAAAAAAAGAAAAACAUUACUUAUUUCUCCCUGGCCUUUAGACUCUCUGCUGAAAAAUCUCUAGUAAUUUCUAUGUGUUUGCAUUUGUAAGUGGCUUGGUAUUCAUAAGUGUGAGGAACAGCCUACAAAUAUGUGGCACUUACUGUGUACCAAAGUGAUUUAAUUUCCAAAUCAUUUAUGUCAUGUAUCUCUCAAAUGAUUCCUAUAAAGUAGAUACUUUUCAUAUACCUUUUAUAG